GCCAAUUCUCAUAAGUAUAGACAUUCACUGUAUAUCCACUGAGAGACGAAGGAUCAAUUCCACACACCUGAGCCAGAGAAAAAAGAGGGAGAGAAGGAGAGAGAUCGAGUUUCUCUCUUUAAUGCAUGAAGCCUUAUUGUUUUGCUGCUAUUAAACAAUUACAGACAUGUUUUCUCCGUUUACUUAAUAGCAUAAAUAUUCACACUACUGCGCACGGAGAGACAGAGAGAAGAUUAAAAUGUCAAAUUGUGGUAAAAGAUGCUGUAUAAAAGACAGGCUACAACUUUUUUUCCUUGUCCCCCCCUGGAAUUAUUCUCUAAAAUUUUACUGUUUAUUGUCCCCUCCAACUAUGAAAUGGGAUUUUCGCCCCUGUCCUCAGCUGUAAACGCUCACUCUUUCCAGUUGGUAGGUCCGCCAUCUAACUAGCUCUCCGCCAUGCGCUCCAAUCGUGCCAUGUUUAAAGGGAAUAUCCAAGCAUCGUUCUUCAGCCAGUGAAGCGUUGUGGGGAAGCUUAGAGAAUCCGCCGCAGCUCCCGGGCAACGACGGACCCCCAAAACCUCCAGUUACUUAUUAAGAAGGGUUUGAGCAGAUCUGAGAUCUUUGAGGUCUGAACGGAUGUAACGAUGAUAUGUUUGAGAAGACCAACAACCCAUGAUUUUAAUGAGGUGUUCCGGGACGCCGUUGCGGGAGGCUGAAGUGGCAGCUCCAAUCCUGAAUGAAUGACCUGAGUACUGCAAAGGGGAAACACCGGAUAAGGAGAGUACGUGGCGGAGGUGAUGUUGGAACCAGAAUCAAGUGACGACUUGUCUGACUUCCGAGACAAAAAGUGGAUCUGUGGAUGAAGCGUUUUGAGACUUUAGGAAUGACAAAUAACUAGUCAGGGUCUCGAAUGAAUUCAGCGGUGAUGGUACGUUGAAGUAGAAGACUGGUGUAGGAUGACCGGAUUGGUUGGUUUUACUUUGCUUGAUGUAGAAGACCAUGGCGUCGUUGGAGAAUUGGGACAAAUCUGAAAUGCAGGCAUGGCGGCGUGGGUCAAAGUGGAUGGUUGAGGAGGUGAAUUCUGAGCAUCGGAGGAAACCGAAGAAAGCAAGCAGAAACAUGGCUUCUAAGGUUCGUGCGAUGUGGUAAGCGCAGUAUCCAGAGCCAAUGGUAUGGAUGCAAGCUAACAGCAAGUCGGAGGUAAGGGGGAGACAGCGAUGGAUCUUAGCUGGUUCUUGGCGUAUGAGUCCUUUGAGGAGAGCAGUAAUUUGCGGGUGGUUAGAGGCUAGGCUUGGACUGCCUGUUAUGAGCUUGCAAGAGAAGCUGAUGCCGCUAAGAUACACCUUGAUGGUAUGAGCUGUAAUGGCCAUGACGGAAUGAGCAUGGGUGAUGAAGCUAGUCAAGGUGACGAGGCCGAACGAUGGGAAGGCAAUGUGAUACAGGUUGUGGAAGUGACGGAAUUGUUUCCAAGCUGUCAAGUAUGAUGAUAAGGUUGCAGGUGAUAGGCUGUUGAUUAUGGAGUUCUGUGCUUCGACUAUCAGAGGUAUAAGGCCAGGAUUUACAGAUUGAAUGUCAAUGCUGAAUAUGGAGGAACCGGUGUUGGAUGGGUAUCUGCAUGAGGAGCCAAGCUUCUGAACUUCUGAAACGAGAAACGAGAGAGACAGUCAGCGAUGGCAUUGGAGUGACCGGGAACAUGGGCUGCACGGAGAAUGUAUUGAUGGGUAACAGAGUGCCAGACUAGGCGGCGCAUGAACGGCAUGAUGGAUGGAGAGUUGGAACGACCUUUGUUUAUGAUGUCGACAACGGCGAGGUUGUCUGAAUGAAUGAGGAUGGACUUGCGAGACCAUUCAUGGCCCCACAGAACGGCAGCAGCUAUGAUGGGCUAAAUUUCGAAUAGAGCUGAGUGUGGCAAGUGGAGGGUGGAAAAGAUUUGUUGCCAGACAACGCCACCUGGGGAAUUGCGCCCCCGGAAAUAGUUAAUUUUAACAAUGUUAAAGGUCACACAAGGUCCGAAAUUACCACAGGGCCAGAGACGGUUUAUAGAGAAUAUACCACAAAUUUUAUUUAAAAAACAAUCAAUGAAAUCUAGCUGUUACACGCAAUAACUGCACUUGGGCCAAAAAAAGAGGAAUGGACGGAUGAGUGGACAGAGCUGGGGCUUACCACGGCAGACCAGAACCAAAAUCAAGGAGGAGGAGAAACUAAAUCAAACACCCGUGGCACUGCACACACACACAACUGAGGAUCUGUGAGCAAAACCCACCACCAGGGAUUGGGUUGCCGCCUUGGGCCCGCAGCACCUGUCCACAAGGAGAGGGAGAAUUAAAACAGGCCUCACAGUGAACAAACAGCUGCCUUAAAACACACAUACAUGCUCAACCACACACCCCCACACAUACACACACAAGCAACAAUGUAGUAAAUAAAAAAAUAAACAAAAGAAACCAAAAUACCAUUAAACAUAAUAACAAACUCAACAAAUUUACAUACAAAAUAAAUCACAUGAACAGGAAGUCAGUUAAUAUAUCAAUAAAAGCUAGUGGCAAUGUAAGAGUCCAGACGCCAACUCAAUGAAGAGCUAAAUGGCCACGGGGAGUCAACGGGUCAAACAGCGCCACACACACCCAAGGACCAAGACAGGGUCUGGGAGAUCCAAACAGGCCACCAAGAAAAGAGCAGAGCCAAAACAGCAGCGCCGUCCAGGAAACGGUGGCAGUAAAUUCAACCACUUCGAGCCUCACCGGCACAGCCUCACGGAGGGCCAGAGGAGAGAUACUCUAGGGCUGCAGCACAAAAUAACUACAAUCAGCUGGGAGCGGAGAAACCGGAGACACAACUGCACCCAGGAGGGCUCCCAGCGGGGCAAGCCCCGCCCCACGCCACCAGCAGUCUGCCACACUGCGUCAAGAGGAAGAUCGUGUCACCAUUACGCAAUCUGGGCUUUAUAAAUAAAAUUGAUUGAUUGAUUGAUUGAUUGAUUGAUAAGUCUUCGCUUGGAAUUAAGCUAUUGAUGCUGGGAAUGGUGCUGCAAUGGGGAGCCGAAAGAUCGACGAUUAUGCGUUUCUUUCCUGAAUACUUUCUGGUUGUGAUGCCGAGGGGGCUGAUACGGAAAUCCGGAAAAGGAGGAUGCGCGAAUGGACCUAUCAUAAAACCGUCACUGACUUCCUUGGCAAGCAAGCGGUCGACUGUCUCUGGUUCGUUUGUGGCAGACUGCAGGUUCUUGCAUUCGAACGAUGAGGAUGGUAGUACGGAUAGACUGGGGUGAAAACCGUUCCUGAAACCAUUUACAAGGAAGUCCACGAAAGCUGGAUCUGAGUGAUUGCGAAGUGCCAUGGCUAAGGCAGGGAUGUUUAUAGGUGUCAAUAGGUGCUCACCUGGUUUAAGUGAAGUUGGGUUGUGAGGGCAUGCUGGACGGGCGUGUCCGCCUCCGCAGUAGGAGCAAACAUGGAGGUAGCGGCACUGCGACAUGUUGCAACCUGCAUCGUUGAAGUUGUUUGUAACCCAGGUGACAAAUUCUCUCUGCCUCUCUGCCUCCUACUACAUGUUGCACUCAUCUCAAAAUCUCGCGAUAUUUACUCUUGAUCUCACGUGAUGAUCAUGUAGGCCAGUUGGCCAAUCAUUGUUGACGCAGUCGGUGACGUCACGCAGUCACAUGGGUCGGCGCGGCCAAUCGGGUUCAAUUAGUGCGUGCUGCUGGUCAGUUUGAUUUGAAGCAGAGGGAAGACGGCAUGUUACACAAGAGCUACAGGUCGGUUUAAAACUUAUUUCUGCCUCGGUUCGGUUGAAUAAAGAAUGACACUAAGCACUUUGUAAACUUUAACUUAUAGAAGCCCUCUACCGCGGCCGAAACAAGAAGAGCGAGAAGAGCGAGUCGUGUUAGUUUAAACCCAGGACUGGCCAGAUUAUUGAUUUCCCCUGAUGGCGAGCUAAGAAAAGGAGCCUGUCUUGAACCUACUGCCAGACCAAUUGUUGGAGAGUCGCACCCCUCCUGCCAGGCCGGUAGGGGGCUCCCUGUAGCCCGAGAAAAAAACUCAUACCCUGCUCACUUUGCCCACUGCCCUUGCCAACACACAUUUUCCCCCACAACUUGUCCCAUCACUACUUUUCCCCCUGGACUCAAGUCAAACCCAGACGUGGGUUUCCCCAAUGAACUGUGGGUGGGCUAUUGGGUCUAUUGCUGUUAUUGUGUUGAUUCAAUAUUGAAGUUUUUGAACUUUCAUGAUCUAUCUUUUUGGUUUUGUAUAUAAUAAUGAAUUGAAAGUAUUUUUCUAGAUUCUGAGUGGCCACUCUGAGUAUCCAUAGCAUAUGUUGGUUUUUCACUGUAAAUAUUUUUCACUGCAUUACUGUAUGUCAUUCACUGUCCUUCAAAAAAAUAUAUUAUCUCAUCUAAUCAGCAACCUCAGUCUCUUGUCCACUCCCUCCAUGAGCGCAACCUAGACUUCUGAACUAGCCCUAGAAUAAUAACUGUGUCAU